GGGCCCGUCGUCUAGCUUGGUUAGGACGCCGCCCUCACACGGCGGAGAUCCUGGGUUCAAGUCCCAGCGGGCCCA
rnacentral:tRNA from 1 species